rnacentral:lncRNA from 1 species
CCCGCAGCGGCGGAAGCGCGGGUCUCGGCGGGAUGAGCGCUGACCCGCGCGUGCUUCUCGGAAAACCUUGGCCCCCGGGGGCCUGCCCCGCCGGCGCGUGGACUUGAAUGCGUGCUGGGAGCGGUCCGUGUCGCCGGCGGAGUGCGGGUUUUAACCCCACCGCCCCGUACCCCUCCCCGGCCGGCUUUUUUCACCAAGGGAUCCGCGUUAAGCGCCGGGCGCGGAGUCAGCAACCCGCGCCGCCACGGGAAACACGGAGUUUCUAAGACUGAGAACCAAGUGGUGGGGGAGGGGCUGGAAACCCCGGGCGAGCCCCCACGUGCUGCCACCCGCUUAGCCGCCGAGUUGCCGGGGCCUCGCGGGGCGAGGCACCUCCCCGAGCCCAGGGCCCGUGGGGCGUUCUCCGGUGUCGCUGUGGCCUUCUUGGGCGGGUCCCAGGACGGGGCAACCCUGGCCCCCGGCUGAAAGUCAAGUUCAGGUUCACAGAGUGGUUGGUCUGAGGGCUACAUGAGCUCACAGAGGACCCUGCCUUGUAUUCCACCAUUCUUCUGCUCUCCUUGAGAGCAAGGGAGCAGCCUGCUGGUGACAUGUGUUGGUUUGGUUCUCAUUAUUGGACGUUCUCUUUUCUUCACUUCUCUUAUCCCUGCAUUCCUCAAUCUUGAUUCUACUCCAAGCAAUUUUCUCUCCGGAAAGGAAGCCCUGCCAGGCCAGUUUCAAGAUCCCAGGACACUGUUUGUAUGUUGUUUUUGGCCACACCCACAGCAUGCAGAUGUUCCUGGGCCAGGGAUCGAACCCAUGCCACAGCAGUAACAAUGCCAGAUCCUUAACCCACUGAGCCACCAGGGAACUCCACGAGUUCACAAAGCCUUUGAGGUCUUGCUGCAGGACCUUCAUAUCCUCCCUCUAUUGAAAUGGGCCAAACCACUCCCGGUUUCAGCCACUCUCUGCAGACUGGUCUGCCGGCUUCUGCCUGUUAUUCUGGUAGACGCCCAGUGGCCUCUCUGCGUUCUCCCACUUGGACACCAGUAGCGCACAAGCUGUGUGGCUUUAGCGGUUGGUCCCAUCUGUUUGUACUUUGGGGUUGACCAAGACACCUUGGCACUGAAUUAUCUGGCAAAUGUCACGCAUAAGGUUUUGUCUUUUCUAGCCAGUUGCUCUGCCUGUUGUUACUUGGGGAUUUGAGAAAAUCCGAAACUAUAUUCAAAGACACACGUCUCCCAGGAGCUCUCCCACUGUUUCCUUUUCAUAGCCUGAGAAAACUCCAUUUCCAGAGUGGUUAACUGAUGUGCUUACAGUCACACGGCUGGUGAAGGCUGAUGCCAGCAUUUGAAUCUGGGUUCUGAUUUCGAGCCCUUAUCUUUUUCUACUACAUUUUGUUUGAAAACUGCUUGUAUGGCAUUCCUGUCGUAGCUCAGCCGUAAUAAAUCAGACUAGUAUCCAUGAGGACGCGGGUUCAAUCCCUGGCCUCGCUCAGUGGGUUAAGGAUCCGGCUUAGUCGUGCGCUGUGGUGUAGGCCGGCAGCUGUAGCUCCAGUUUGACUCUUAGUGCAGGAACUUCCAUAUGCUGCAGGUGCGACUGUAAAACGAAGAAUAUCAGCGUGUGGGCAGGGCUGUGCUCCGACUGAAACCUAUUGGGAAUCCUUCCUCCCCUCUUCCCAGCUCGGGGGCUCGGCAGCAACCCUUCGUCCCUUGGCUGGUGGCCAUGUCACACCAUCCCUCCUCCUUCCCAAGCCGUCUUCUUACGAGGACAGCAGUCCUGCCGGGUCAGGGCCCCGCUGUACCCCAGGCGGCCUCACCUCAGCCAGUUACACCUGCAGUGAUUCCAUUUCCAAAUAAGGCCACAUCCCGAGGUGGGGGUGGGACUUCAACUUGUCCCUGGGGACACAGUGCAACCCACUAUAGCGUGUCCCCCCCACCCACCGGGAGGUUACCUGUCUUUUUACUUUUUGCUUCAGGGGAGGGAUGGGACAGAGCAGAAGAGAAACCUAAAGUCAGUGGGGAUGCAGGCAUGAGGUCUUGGCCAGAAACAGCGCAGCGGGUUUCCCUGCAGGUUUGAGACGGUGUCUUCCUGAGCAGCACGGCCAGGGAGGCAGCACAGGCCCAGGAAGGGAGGGGCCCCGUGGUAUCUGACGAUGGAGAAGGUCACCCUCGCCUGGUGCCCUGGACCGAACGUAGCCAGGAAGCCACAGAGAACGCCAGGUCUGAAGGCCAUGCCCACCAGCCGGAGAGCAUGCCUUGGCCCUUUGGUGCCUCUGUCCCCAGCGCGGUGUAUGGAGCCUAGUAUGUUCACGGGAAAAGUCAGGCAUCUGAAGGAGCCUGGAUCCCAGGGUACAGGCCCUGUGUCCAUCAUGUGAGCUGGGCAUAGAGACCUCAGCAUCCUCUAAACCAUGGAGAUCAGAAGCAUCAAAAUCACUUCCCAUGAAAGUGAAAUAAGGUUCCUAACCUGCCCGGCACUGGGAAGGCUUCGCAAACGACACUGCCUUUCUCCUCGCUCCCUCUCUGAGCCUCAGCUUCUUUUUUUUUCCUCCUUUUUCUUUUUAUAGCCACAUAUGGAGGUUCCCAGGCUAGGGGUCGAAUCGGAGCUGCAGCUAAGGGCUACACCACAGCCACAGCAACACCAGAUCUGAGGCGCAUCAGUGGGUGAACUACACGGCAGCUUGCAGCAAGGCCAGAUCUUUAACCCACUGAGCGAGGCCAGGGGUCAAACCCACAUCCUCACAGAGACAACAUCGGGUCCUUAACCCACUGAGCCACAAUGGGAAUUGCUACGUCUCAGUUUCUCAAUCUGUAAAAUGAAGAUAACAUUUUACCAUGAAGUGUUCUUUUAAGAGUCAAAAGAAAAUAGCACAUGUAAAAAAAAAAAAAAAAAAA